AAUCUUAGUACACUGCUAGUGGUACAUCUUAUUGAUAUAAGUGCUUAUUAUCUGUCUUACCAAAGUUAUAAUGCCAAACUCCACGUUUUAGGCCUUAAGUAAGAAGUUACCCAUCGCACCUUGCGCCCUUAGAGUUUAAGGUUUGAGAUUUUUGAAAGAAAACCUUUUCUGAAAUAGCUGUAUCUCAAAAGUUCGAUUGAUAACUCCGCCUAAUGUUUUGAUAUAAUAUCCCACUAGAUAUUCCCUUUACCCUUACAAAUUUUAGAAACUUUGACAGAAGGAAAUUUUAAUAAAUUCAUUUUUAGUGUAAAAUUUAGUGUCUGACUGCUGUCGCUUGGGCCACAUUGUUACCAUAGCAACACAUAAUUUGAUUCUUUCGAACUAACGUACUUUAAGCAUAAAGAUUGCACAAGCGUUUAUACUUUCAAAAAAUUCUCCAUUUUGCAAAUUAUUUGGUGUCGCUGCCAUUUCUCAACAACUGUAGGGAGCCACCUUAAGCACAUGAUUUUCUGUUCCUGGGAAUUCAAAAUAGCUUCUAAUACUAUAAAGGGGAACAACUACAGGGUGUAGCUGCAAACCUUUGAAAUACAAUGACCGCGUGCGUAAACACAAUAGUUGUCUCAGUUGAACUGAUAAUUAGUUUUCUAUAUUACAAAUAACUUU